rnacentral:rRNA from 1 species
UUGCUCGCACUUUCCAUAUGGAGCUGGGAGCGUUUGCCGGUUGGACGUCCGAAGAAGGUGAAGUACGAUGAUUGGGACGACAAAGGCGACCUACUACGGCUAUCCACUUGGGCUUACAAGUGGGAUGUGAUAAAUGAGAUGACAGAUGAUCCCUCGGUCAUGUACAAGUUGUACCAGAGUGAGCUUGACGCGAUCACGCCUGAGCAGGUGAAUUGA